rnacentral:sRNA from 1 species
GUUUUUUUGUCUUUUCAU